UACGAAGGGGGCAAGCGUUGUUCGGAAUUACUGGGCGUAAAGGGCGCGUAGGCGGCCGCUCAAGUCAGGCGUGAAAUUCCCGGGCUCAACCUGGGGGCUGCGCUUGAUACUGAUUGGCUUGAAUGCGGGAGAGGAUAGUGGAAUUCCCAGUGUAGAGGUGAAAUUCGUAGAUAUUGGGAAGAACACCGGUGGCGAAGGCGGCUAUCUGGCCCGUAAUUGACGCUGAGGCGCGAAAGCGUGGGGAGCAAACAGG
rnacentral:rRNA from 1 species